UCCCUGAUAGCUCAGUUGGUAAAGAAUCUGCUUGCAAUGCAGGAGACCCUGGUUCAAAUCCUGGGUUGGGAA
rnacentral:tRNA from 1 species